ACUUAUAUUCUGUAGCAAGGUUAACCGAAUAGGGGAGCCGAAGGGAAACCGAGUCUUAACCGGGCGUUAAGUUGCAGGGUAUAGACCCGAAACCCGGUGAUCUAGCCAUGGGCAGGUUGAAGGUUGGGUAACACUAACUGGAGGACCGAACCGACUAAUGUUGAAAAAUUAGCGGAUGACUUGUGGCUGGGGGUGAAAGGCCAAUCAAACCGGGAGAUAGCUGGUUCUCCCCGAAAGCUAUUUAGGUAGCGCCUCGUGAAUUCAUCUCCGGGGGUAGAGCACUGUUUCGGCAAGGGGGUCAUCCCGACUUACCAACCCGAUGCAAACUGCGAAUACCGGAGAAUGUUAUCACGGGAGACACACGGCGGGUGCUAACGUCCGUCGUGAAGAGGGAAACAACCCAGACCGCCAGCUAAGGUCCCAAAGUCAUGGUUAAGUGGGAAACGAUGUGGGAAGGCCCAGACAGCCAGGAUGUUGGCUUAGAAGCAGCCAUCAUUUAAAGAAAGCGUAAUAGCUCACUGGUCGAGUCGGCCUGCGCGGAAGAUGUAACGGGGCUAAACCAUGCACCGAAGCUGCGGCAGCGACACUGUGUGUUGUUGGGUAGGGGAGCGUUCUGUAAGCCUGUGAAGGUGUGCUGUGAGGCAUGCUGGAGGUAUCAGAAGUGCGAAUGCUGACAUAAGUAACGAUAAAGCGGGUGAAAAGCCCGCUCGCCGGAAGACCAAGGGUUCCUGUCCAACGUUAAUCGGGGCAGGGUGAGUCGACCCCUAAGGCGAGGCCGAAAGGCGUAGUCGAUGGGAAACAGGUUAAUAUUCCUGUACUUGGUGUUACUGCGAAGGGGGGACGGAGAAGGCUAUGUUGGCCGGGCGACGGUUGUCCCGGUUUAAGCGUGUAGGCUGGUUUUCCAGGCAAAUCCGGAAAAUCAAGGCUGAGGCGUGAUGACGAGGCACUACGGUGCUGAAGCAACAAAUGCCCUGCUUCCAGGAAAAGCCUCUAAGCAUCAGGUAACAUCAAAUCGUACCCCAAACCGACACAGGUGGUCAGGUAGAGAAUACCAAGGCGCUUGAGAGAACUCGGGUGAAGGAACUAGGCAAAAUGGUGCCGUAACUUCGGGAGAAGGCACGCUGAUAUGUAGGUGAAGUCCCUCGCGGAUGGAGCUGAAAUCAGUCGAAGAUACCAGCUGGCUGCAACUGUUUAUUAAAAACACAGCACUGUGCAAACACGAAAGUGGACGUAUACGGUGUGACGCCUGCCC
rnacentral:rRNA from 1 species